AGUCGAGCGGACAGAUGGGAGCUUGCUCCCUGAUGUUAGCGGCGGACGGGUGAGUAACACGUGGGUAACCUGCCUGUAAGACUGGGAUAACUCCGGGAAACCGGGGCUAAUACCGGAUGGUUGUCUGAACCGCAUGGUUCAGACAUAAAAGGUGGCUUCGGCUACCACUUACAGAUGGACCCGCGGCGCAUUAGCUAGUUGGUGAGGUAACGGCUCACCAAGGCGACGAUGCGUAGCCGACCUGAGAGGGUGAUCGGCCACACUGGGACUGAGACACGGCCCAGACUCCUACGGGAGGCAGCAGUAGGGAAUCUUCCGCAAUGGACGAAAGUCUGACGGAGCAACGCCGCGUGAGUGAUGAAGGUUUUCGGAUCGUAAAGCUCUGUUGUUAGGGAAGAACAAGUGCCGUUCAAAUAGGGCGGCACCUUGACGGUACCUAACCAGAAAGCCACGGCUAACUACGUGCCAGCAGCCGCGGUAAUACGUAGGUGGCAAGCGUUGUCCGGAAUUAUUGGGCGUAAAGGGCUCGCAGGCGGUUUCUUAAGUCUGAUGUGAAAGCCCCCGGCUCAACCGGGGAGGGUCAUUGGAAACUGGGGAACUUGAGUGCAGAAGAGGAGAGUGGAAUUCCACGUGUAGCGGUGAAAUGCGUAGAGAUGUGGAGGAACACCAGUGGCGAAGGCGACUCUCUGGUCUGUAACUGACGCUGAGGAGCGAAAGCGUGGGGAGCGAACAGGAUUAGAUACCCUGGUAGUCCACGCCGUAAACGAUGAGUGCUAAGUGUUAGGGGGUUUCCGCCCCUUAGUGCUGCAGCUAACGCAUUAAGCACUCCGCCUGGGGAGUACGGUCGCAAGACUGAAACUCAAAGGAAUUGACGGGGGCCCGCACAAGCGGUGGAGCAUGUGGUUUAAUUCGAAGCAACGCGAAGAACCUUACCAGGUCUUGACAUCCUCUGACAAUCCUAGAGAUAGGACGUCCCCUUCGGGGGCAGAGUGACAGGUGGUGCAUGGUUGUCGUCAGCUCGUGUCGUGAGAUGUUGGGUUAAGUCCCGCAACGAGCGCAACCCUUGAUCUUAGUUGCCAGCAUUCAGUUGGGCACUCUAAGGUGACUGCCGGUGACAAACCGGAGGAAGGUGGGGAUGACGUCAAAUCAUCAUGCCCCUUAGACCUGGGCUUC
rnacentral:rRNA from 1 species